GUAAGCUACUAAGAGCGAAUGGUGGAUGCCUUGACUGGUAAAGGCGAUGAAGGACGUACUAGACUGCGAUAAGCUACGGGGAGCUGUCAAGAAGCUUUGAUCCGUAGAUUUCCGAAUGGGGCAACCCAAUGUAUAGAGAUAUACAUUACCUAUAUAGGAGCGAACGAGGGGAAUUGAAACAUCUUAGUACCCUCAGGAAAAGAAAUCAAUAGAGAUUGCGUCAGUAGCGGCGAGCGAAAGCGCAAGAGGGCAAACCCAGUGCUUGCACUGGGGGUUGUAGGACUGCAAUGUGCAAGAGGUGAGUUUAGCAGAACAUUCUGGAAAGUAUAGCCAUAGAGGGUGAUAGUCCCGUAUGCGAAAAACAAACCUUAGCUAGCAGUAUCCUGAGUAGGGCGGGACACGAGAAAUCCUGUCUGAAGCUGGGUCGACCACGAUCCAACCCUAAAUACUAAUACCAGAUCGAUAGUGCACAAGUACCGUGAGGGAAAGGUGAAAAGAACUGAGGUGAUCAGAGUGAAAUAGAACCUGAAACCAUUUGCUUACAAUCAUUCAGAGCCCUAUGUAGCAAUACAGGGUGAUGGACUGCCUUUUGCAUAAUGAGCCUGCGAGUUGUGGUGUCUGGCAAGGUUAAGCAAACGCGAAGCCGUAGCGAAAGCGAGUCUGAAUAGGGCGCUUAGUCAGAUGCUGCAGACCCGAAACGAAGUGAUCUAUCCAUGAGCAAGUUGAAGCUAGUGUAAGAACUAGUGGAGGACUGAACCCAUAGGCGUUGAAAAGCCCCGGGAUGACUUGUGGAUAGGGGUGAAAGGCCAAUCAAACUUCGUGAUAGCUGGUUCUCUCCGAAAUAUAUUUAGGUAUAGCGUUGUGUCGUAAUAUAAGGGGGUAGAGCACUGAAUGGGCUAGGGCAUACACCAAUGUACCAAACCCUAUCAAACUCCGAAUACCUUAUAUGUAAUCACAGCAGUCAGGCGGCGAGUGAUAAAAUCCGUCGUCAAGAGGGAAACAACCCAGACUACCAGCUAAGGUCCCUAAAUCUUACUUAAGUGGAAAACGAUGUGAAGUUACUUAAACAACCAGGAGGUUGGCUUAGAAGCAGCCAUCCUUUAAAGAAAGCGUAAUAGCUCACUGGUCUAGUGAUUUUGCGCGGAAAAUAUAACGGGGCUAAAGUAAGUACCGAAGCUGUAGACUUGCGCACAACUUAGAUUAUUUAAGUUUAGAAUAUGAGAAACUAAGUUAUAUGUUUAGUUAUAUUUUUACUGAUUUUUAUAGAGUAAAGAUAGAAAUAAAACUUAGUAAAAUCAGUAAAAAUAUUCUUAGACUAAAGUUAAGUAGUUUAAGUUGUGUGCAAGUGGUAGGAGAGCGUUCUAUUUGCGUCGAAGGUAUACCGGUAAGGAGUGCUGGAGCGAAUAGAAGUGAGCAUGCAGGCAUGAGUAGCGAUAAUUAAUGUGAGAAUCAUUAACGCCGUAAACCCAAGGUUUCCUACGCGAUGCUCGUCAUCGUAGGGUUAGUCGGGUCCUAAGUCGAGUCCGAAAGGGGUAGACGAUGGCAAAUUGGUUAAUAUUCCAAUACCAACAUUAGUGUGCGAUGGAAGGACGCUUAGGGCUAAGGGGGCUAGCGGAUGGAAGUGCUAGUCUAAGGUCGUAGGAGGUUAUACAGGCAAAUCCGUAUAACAAUACUCCGAGAACUGAAAGGCUUUUUGAAGUCUUCGGAUGGAUAGAAGAACCCCUGAUGCCGUCGAGCCAAGAAAAGUUUCUAAGUUUAGCUAAUGUUGCCCGUACCGUAAACCGACACAGGUGGGUGGGAUGAGUAUUCUAAGGCGCGUGGAAGAACUCUCUUUAAGGAACUCUGCAAAAUAGCACCGUAUCUUCGGUAUAAGGUGUGGUUCGCUUCGUAUUAGGAUUUACUCCGAAAGCGAAGAAACUUACAACAAAGAGUCCCUCCCGACUGUUUACCAAAAACACAGCACUCUGCUAACUCGUAAGAGGAUGUAUAGGGUGUGACGCCUGCCCGGUGCUCGAAGGUUAAUUGAUGGGGUUAGCAUUAGCGAAGCUCUUGAUCGAAGCCCGAGUAAACGGCGGCCGUAACUAUAACGGUCCUAAGGUAGCGAAAUUCCUUGUCGGUUAAAUACCGACCUGCAUGAAUGGCGUAACGAGAUGGGAGCUGUCUCAAAGAGGGAUCCAGUGAAAUUGUAGUGGAGGUGAAAAUUCCUCCUACCCGCGGCAAGACGGAAAGACCCCGUGGACCUUUACUACAGCUUGACACUGCUAUUUGGAUAAGAAUGUGCAGGAUAGGUGGGAGGCUUUGAGUAUAUGACGCCAGUUGUAUAUGAGCCAUUGUUGAGAUACCACUCUUUCUUAUUUGGGUAGCUAACCAGCUUGAGUUAUCCUCAAGUGGGACAAUGUCUGGUGGGUAGUUUGACUGGGGCGGUCGCCUCCCAAAUAAUAACGGAGGCUUACAAAGGUUGGCUCAGAACGGUUGGAAAUCGUUCGUAGAGUAUAAAGGUAUAAGCCAGCUUAACUGCAAGACAUACAAGUCAAGCAGAGACGAAAGUCGGUCUUAGUGAUCCGGUGGUUCUGUGUGGAAGGGCCAUCGCUCAAAGGAUAAAAGGUACCCCGGGGAUAACAGGCUGAUCUCCCCCAAGAGCUCACAUCGACGGGGAGGUUUGGCACCUCGAUGUCGGCUCAUCGCAUCCUGGGGCUGGAGCAGGUCCCAAGGGUAUGGCUGUUCGCCAUUUAAAGCGGUACGCGAGCUGGGUUCAGAACGUCGUGAGACAGUUCGGUCCCUAUCUGCCGUGGGCGUAAGAAGAUUGAAGAGAUUUGACCCUA
rnacentral:rRNA from 1 species